AUUGAACGCUGGCGGCAGGCCUAACACAUGCAAGUCGAACGAGUGGCGGACGGGUGAGUAAUGUCUGGGAAACUGCCCGCUGGAGGGGGAUAACUCUUGGAAACGGUAGCUAAUACAGCAUACCAUCGGAUGUGCCCAGAUGGGGUGAGAUAGUAGGUGGGGUAACGGCUCACCUAGGCGACGAUCCCUAGCUGGGCUGAGAGGAUGACCAGCCACACUGGAACUGAGACACGGUCCAGACUCCUACGGGAGGCAGCAGUGGGGAAUAUUGCACAAUGGGCGCAAGCCUGAUGCAGCCAUGCCGCGUGGAUGAAGAAGGCCUGCGGGUUGUAAAGUACUUUCAGCGGGGAGGCGUUACUCGCAGAAGAAGCACCGGCUAACUCCGUGCCAGCAGCCGCGGUAAUAC
rnacentral:rRNA from 1 species